CUGGCUGAGCCCGCAGCGCCGCCGCCCGCCGGGCGCCGCCUGGCGCUGGCCGGCGCGGAACCUACUGCUGCUGCCGGGUACCACCGGGCUGGCGGACUUACCCUCAGCGCGUAGGCCCAGCUGCUACGGCGCGCGCCCGCGCCUCAUGUGGAAGCACCGGUGGCAGAAUAUUAACUACCAAUAUCUGGGCAAGAGGAAGACACAUCUAGCUCCCCUGCGCCCGUGAGAGCCGCCAGUUAUUAUGCUAACACUUCGCGGGCCUCAUCACAACCCUAUGAGGGACUUGGGAAGACAGGCUUCAGGUUCAUCUCCUCAUGGUCCUGAGGCUAACUUGUGCCAAGCCAGGAUGAGCAGGAAGAUGCCUGGAACACUGCACAGUCCUGUGUCCCCUCUCAGUGGAUGAAGAUUGUCCACCUUUGCCCUCUCCCCUGGUAUCUCCAUGUUUCUGCCCUUCACUGCCCGAAUAAAGCAGCUUUCACUGC